CCUACGGGUGGCUGCAGUGGGGAAUAUUGGACAAUGGGCGAAAGCCUGAUCCAGCAAUGCCGCGUGAGUGAUGAAGGCCUUAGGGUUGUAAAGCUCUUUUACCAGGGAUGAUAAUGACAGUACCUGGAGAAUAAGCUCCGGCUAACUCCGUGCCAGCAGCCGCGGUAAUACGGAGGGAGCUAGCGUUGUUCGGAAUUACUGGGCGUAAAGCGCACGUAGGCGGUUUUUCAAGUCAGGGGUGAAAGCCCGGAGCUCAACUCCGGAAUUGCCCUUGAAACUGGAUGGCUAGAAUCUUGGAGAGGUCAGUGGAAUUCCGAGUGUAGAGGUGAAAUUCGUAGAUAUUCGGAAGAACACCAGUGGCGAAGGCGACUGACUGGACAAGUAUUGACGCUGAGGUGCGAAAGCGUGGGGAGCAAACAGGAUUAGAUACCCGGGUAGUC
rnacentral:rRNA from 1 species